rnacentral:rRNA from 1 species
UCAAUAAAAAUAGCGUCUAAGCAACAUUAAAAAAGAUACCACCAUCUUUGGUUACCUCCAGCAAACCAAAAGAACAAUCCUAUCCUCAUAGGAGCUCCUAUGCUAAAACUACUAAUAUGGGCCCACCCUUCUAACACACCUUUUCUCAUAUACUUGAGCAUUAACGGACCACAAAAGGAGAGAAACACACCCUUCACCAUUCUAACCCAACUGUAAGUUCAACUCAGGUGUGUAAAACUACGGUUAAAAGUCUUAGAAGGAACUCGGCAAACACAAACCCCAACUGUUUACCAAAAACAUAGCCUUUAGCCUCACAAGUAUUAAAGGUACUGCCUGCCCAGUGAAUUUUUUUAACGGCCGCGGUAUCCUGACCGUGCAAAGGUAGCGAAAUCAUUUGUCUACUCAAUAUAGACCAGUAUGAAAGGCCACAUGAGGGUUUAACUGUCUCCUAAGACCAACCUAUGAAACUGAUCUUCUAGUUCAAAAGCUAGAAUUACACUAUAAGACGAGAAGACCCUGUGAAGCUUAAAAAACCCCGUUAAAACAACUAACGGGUACUUUUAGUUGGGGCAACUUUGGAAAACAAACCAACCUCCAAACCGCCAAAAGACUGACAAGUCAAUGUACGAUCCAGUAUAACUGAUAAACGGACUAAGUUACUCCAGGGAUAACAGCGCAAUCUUCUUCAAGAGCCCGUAUCUAAGUAGAAGGUUUACGACCUCGAUGUUGGAUCAGGACACCCAAGCGGUGCAGCAGCUGCUAAAGGUUUGUUUGUUCAACAAUUAAAGU